CUUGACAUCCAGCGAACUUUCCAGAGAUGGAUUGGUGCCUUCGGGAACGCUGAGACAGGUGCUGCAUGGCUGUCGUCAGCUCGUGUUGUGAAAUGUUGGGUUAAGUCCCGNAACGAGCGCAACCCUUAUCCUUGUUGCCAGCGAUUCGGUCGGGAACUCAAAGGAGACUGCCGGUGAUAAACCGGAGGAAGGUGGGGAUGACGUCAAGUCAUCAUGGCCCUUACGAGUAGGGCUACACACGUGCUACAAUGGCGCAUACAAAGAGAAGCGACCUCGCGAGAGCAAGCGGACCUCAUAAAGUGCGUCGUAGUCCGGAUCGGAGUCUGCAACUCGACUCCGUGAAGUCGGAAUCGCUAGUAAUCGUGGAUCAGAAUGCCACGGUGAAUACGUUCCCGGGCCUUGUACACACCGCCCGUCACACCAUGGGAGUGGGUUGCAAAAGAAGUAGGUAGCUUAACCUUCGGGAGGGCGCUUACCACUUUGUGAUUCAUGACUGGGGUGAAGUCGUAACAAGGUAAGCGUAGCGAG
rnacentral:rRNA from 1 species